UCAAAAGUUAUUUUGUAUCAAAUAACCAAAUGUUAGGGUUUUAGACGAAAAUUGCAGCCACUAUUCUUCAUUCUUGCUUCUUGAAUCUUGGCUUCUUCUUUUGUUGCAUAUCAAAGACAAAAUCAGUGAUCCUGCCAUCCAUUGCAGGAAUUUUAGUGAGUCAAGAUGAUCAAGAGAUUUUUCAAGUCGCAAACCUGUUCAGGUUCUACUUCUAGUUCUCAUUCGCUAAACUCUCAUUCAUGUCUAGUGGUAAAUGACAAUAUCAAUUCUUCGCAAUCAUCACACAAAGAUAUUAUGUUGGAUUUGAAUCUUCCUAACCCUGAUCCUAGUGAAAGAAAAUAAAUUUCAAAAUAUCCUCCUAAUCUACGCGACCGCGUGAAGACAUUAUAUUCAAAGGGAGCCUUGUCGGCCUCGUAAUUUUAUUUUUCCAAAAAAACAAAUUUUGGUGGAAAAUAGUGUCACUUUAAUCCGGAAUGGUUUAAAACUUCAUAUUCUGGAUGGUUAGAAUACAGUAUUAAAGAAGAUGCAGCGUUUUGCUUAUGUUGUUACUUGUUUAAAAAUGAGAUUGGAGGAUAUGGAAAAAAAAGUAAGUGAUUCUUUUACAAAAGAUGAUUUUAGGGCUUGGAAUAAAGGUAUAGAAAGGCUUAACGGACAUGCGGGUGAAGUGAAUAGUGUUCAUAAUCGGUGUUUCAAGAUGAUGCUAGAUUUAUUGAAUCAAUCACAAUCUAUUCUAAUAUCUUUUGACAAGCAAUCCAAGAAAACUAAAAGUGAGUAUCGGGUUCGCUUGAAUGCCUCAAUUGAUGUUGCAAGGUAUCUUUUAAAAGAAGGAAUGCAUUUUCGGGGUCACGAUGAGCGUGAAACUUCUACAAGAAGAGGCAACUUCUUAGAUCUCUUAAAGUGGUAUGCAGAUAAGAAGGAUGAUGUAAAGAAAGUUGUGUUAGAAAAUGCUCCCAAAAAUGAAAUCAUGAUUUGUCCAAGUAUACAAAAAGACAUUGUGUGUUCUUGUGCGAAAGAAAUAUUGAAAGCAAUUAUUGAAGACCUAAACGAGAUUAUUUUGGGAUAUUGGUUGAUGAGUCUAAGAAUAUCUCUCAUAAGGAACAAAUUGCGCUUGUUUUGCGUCAUGCCAACAAAAAGGGUAAAGUUAUUGAGCGAUUCCUUAGUAUUGUUCAUGUUAAAGAUACAUUCGCAAAGUCAUUAAAAGAAGCAAUAUGUUCUUUGCUUUUAGAACAUUCAUUGAGUAAAUCUCAAAUACGAGGAUAAGGUUAUGAUGAAGCUAGUAACAUGCAGGGAGAAAUUAAUGGUCUUAAAACCUUGAUUAUGAAUGAUACUCCUUCGGCAUAUUCCAUACAUUGUUUUGCUCAUCAACUGCAAUUGACUCUUGUUGCUGUUGCAAAAAAAAUUAUGAGACAGAAUAAUUUUUUGAUAUUCUUGCAAAUGUUUUAAAUAUUGUUGGGUAUUCUUUUAAGCGUAGGGAGAUGCUUCGAGAUGAUCAAGCAGAAAAAUUAGAGGAACUAUUAGUCCUCGGUAAAGUUCAUAUGGGAAGCGGUUUAAAUCAAGAACUUGGACUUCAAAGGGCAGGUGAUACUCAUUGGGGUUCUCAUUUUAAGACGGUGCGUAAUUUUAUUAGUUUAUUCUCAUCAAUUAUUCAUGUACUUGGAGUUCUUGCAAUCGAGGGUUCAAAUUAUCAUAAGAUAUCAAUGACAAAAAGUCUAGUGGAUGACAUAAGAUCUUAUGAGUUUGUAUAUAUGUUACAUUUAAUGUUGAAAGUGUUGGCAAUUACAUAUGAUUUGAAUAUGGCUUUACAAAAAAAAGAUCAAGAUAUUGUUAGUGCUAUGAAGCUUGUUGGUUUCGUAAAAAGAUAAUUUCAAGAUAUGAGAGAUUCUAGAUGGGGUUCUUUGGUAGCAGAUGUCUCUUUAUUUUGUGUCAAGUAUGAUAUUGUGACCCCCAAAAUGGAUAUGAAUUAUGUUUGUGAAAAGUCGAAGCGUUAGAAAUCAAGUGUUACAUAUUCUUAUCAUUUGCGUGUAGAGAUUUUCUAUGCUGUUAUUGAUUUGCAACUUUCGGAGCUUAACAGUCGUUUCAGUGAAGUGAAUACUGAUCUAAUUCUUGGUAUGGCUAGUUUGAGUCCAGAAAAUUCUUUUACAAAUUAUGAUAAAGAUAGGAUUAUGAAACUUGCUACACACUAUCCGAAUGAGUUCACUGAUUCUAUGCUUGAGUAUCUUCAUUUUGAGUUUGACAUCUAUAUUGACUAUGUGCGACAGGCGGGCAAUGAAUUUUCUAACUUGAUAAGACUUGGUGAUCUUUCAGAGACGUUGGUUAAAACAAAUUUGCACAUGACUUGGAGACUUGUUUAUUUGCUUGUGAAGUUAAGUUUGAUAUUGCAUGUCGCUACAACAACGGUAAAAAGAGCUUUUUCUUCGAUGAAGUACGUUAAAAAUGACUUGCGAAGCAGAAUUGGUGAUGAAUUUUUGAAUGAUUGUUUAGUUUGUUAUAUAGAGGAUGAAGUAUUUGAAAGUGUACCUAAUGAUGCGAUCAUUGAUCAUUUUCAAGACAUGACAAGUUGUCAAGUACAAUUGUAAUGAUAAUGUUUAUAUUCAUACGUUAUCUUUAAGUA